rnacentral:RNase_P_RNA from 2 species
GGCGUAAGGCAGACGCUCGCUGGUGGCGGGUACCCCAACCACGGGCCCCCACUGGAGGAAAGUCCGAGCUCCACAGGACAGGAUGCUGGCUAACGGCCAGUGGGCGUUGAGCCCCAGGAGAGUGCCACAGAGAAGAAACCGCCCUCCGCCGGGAGACCGGCCGAGGGUAAGGGUGAAAAGGUGCGGUAAGAGCGCACCGCGCGCGUGGUGACACGCGUGGCAGGGAAAACCCCAUUCGGAGCAAGACUAAAUAAGAGAGCGCUUGAGGCCUCGAGUCCGGCCGAUGCUCUCGGGUACGUCGCUAGAGACCGCAGGCAACUGCGGCCCCAGAGGAAUGAGCGUCUCCGCAGCGGAUCGUAAGACCGCGGCGUGACAGAACUCGGCUUAUCGCCUCACCCCGUCC